rnacentral:rRNA from 1 species
UACGUAGGGGGCAAGCGUUGUCCGGAUUUAUUGGGCGUAAAGAGCGUGUAGGCGGCCAAGCAGGUCUGCUGUGAAAACUCGAGGCUCAACCUCGAGACGUCGGUGGAAACCGUUUGGCUAGAGUCCGGAAGAGGAGAGUGGAAUUCCCGGUGUAGCGGUGAAAUGCGCAGAUAUCAGGAAGAACACCCGUGGCUAAGGCGGCUCUCUAGUACGGUACUGACGCUGAGACGCGAAAGCGUGGGGAGCGAACAGG